UGCCCCAUGGCUGAGUUGGUUACAGCGUCCGACUGUUAUCACUGCAUGUGUUAUUAUUCAUCGGAAGGUCGAGAGUUCGAGCCUCUCUGGGGCAG